rnacentral:rRNA from 1 species
UGCCCUGAGGCGUGGCUUCCGGAGCUAACGCGUUAAAUCGACCGCCUGGGAGUACGGCCGCAAGGUUUAAAACUCAAAUGAAUUGACGGGGGCCCGCACAAGCGGUGGAGCAUGUGGUUUAAUUCGAUGCAACGCGAAGAACCUUACCUGGUCUUGACAUCCACAGAACUUUCCAGAGAUGGAUUGGUGCCUUCGGGAACUGUGAGACAGGUGCUGCAUGGCUGUCGUCAGCUCGUGUUGUGAAAUGUUGGGUUAAGUCCCGCAACGAGCGCAACCCUUAUCCUUUGUUGCCAGCGGUUCGGCCGGGAACUCAAAGGAGACUGCCAGUGAUAAACUGGAGGAAGGUGGGGAUGACGUCAAGUCAUCAUGGCCCUUACGACCAGGGCUACACACGUGCUACAAUGGCAUAUACAAAGAGAAGCGACCUCGCGAGAGCAAGCGGACCUCAUAAAGUAUGUCGUAGUCCGGAUUGGAGUCUGCAACUCGACUCCAUGAAGUCGGAAUCGCUAGUAAUCGUAGAUCAGAAUGCUACGGUGAAUACGUUCCCGGGCCUUGUACACACCGCCCGUCACACCAUGGGAUGUGGGUUGCAAAAGAAGUCCGUAGAGUAUCC